AUAUAUUACUACCAGCCCAUAAUUUCAAUUUAUUUCACAUUUUAAACACUAAAUUUCCACAUUUCACAAUUUAGUCCAAAAUUGACAUUUUUCUCAAAAAUCACUUUAUAAAAGAUGAAAAUCUAACAUCAAAUAUUCAUAAUCUAUCAUAAAUCAUCAAUUUACUCAAGCAUUCAACAAUGGCAACAUGUUAAAUCUUUAACAGUUUCGAAUUCAGAGGCACGAGCUAGCUAGAUUAUGAAGCAACGAUCUCAAAAACGUAAAAAUCAUUAAAAUAGGAACAAAAACGAACU
rnacentral:lncRNA from 1 species